rnacentral:rRNA from 1 species
AUUGAACGCUGGCGGCAGGCCUAACACAUGCAAGUCGAGCGGAGCGGCGGACGGGUGAGUAAUGCCUAGGAAUCUGCCUGGUAGUGGGGGAUAACGUCCGGAAACGGGCGCUAAUACCGCAUACUAUCAGAUGAGCCUAGGGCGGAUUAGCUAGUGGGGGGGGUAAAGGCCUACCAAGGCGACGAUCCGUAACUGGUCUGAGAGGAUGAUCAGUCACACUGGAACUGAAAUACGGUCCAGCCUCCAACGGGAGGCAGCAGUGGGGAGUAUUGGAAAAUGGGCGAAAGCCUAAUCCAGCUAUGCCGCGUGUGUGAAGAAGGUCUUCGGAUUGAAAAGCACUUUAAGUUGGGAGGCGUUUCCAACAGAAUAAGCACCGGCUAACGUCGUGCCAGCAGCCGCGGUAAUUC